rnacentral:lncRNA from 1 species
GCAGAGUGAUCAGUGUGGGUCGGGAGCAGCGGAGAUCAUCGACUGCAUAGAUCCAAUCAGGCCUAUUACCGGGUUCAACAAGAAGCGGCAGCUGGGUUCGCAGUUGGCGACGAGCUUGCCGGUGGCGCUGUCGUAGGUCUCCAUGGUCUCCACCAGGAAGUCUGGCUCGGGGUUUUCGAUGAGCGGGUCAACGCAGCAGGUCGGCUGCCAGAACCACCCUGGCUGGCAGCGAGUCCCCGGCCACUGCAGGAGUCACGAUCCGUUAGACUUCAUUAACAGUUUACCGUACAAGAAAGGCUUUCUGUAAAGCCGAGAGAGAGAGAGAGAGAGAGGAAUAGGUACUAUGAGAGACAGGAUCAUGUAGUCGUAUGAAGCAGCUGCUAGCGCACAAGAGGCGGCGCACAAGAGGAAGCAGAACGUGGGAAGAGCCUUUGAGCCAGCCAUUCUGCAGAGGUGGAGAGGAUGAUCGGGGGAGAGACGCUUCGUGAGGUGAUGAGUCUGAUGGCUCUAUAUAAGCACUACAUUGAAGACACACCCACCUACUGAUAAUUGUUGGACUAAUAAUGCACCGCGAUUGCUGUUAGGGGGGUCUUAAAAUAAUGCACUUCGCAUAAAAUGUCGUACACCAACAUGAAACAUGAGGGACAUUCCCGCAUAUCGCAAGCAUAGUGGGUUGCAAAAUGCAAGGAAAGAAAGUAAGGAAUUUAUUUGAUUAUGGUCUCUCAUAGCUAUAAGAUUAUGGUCUCUCGUAGCUAUAUGGACUAUGUGACAUCGUCAAACCACGAUGUCACCUCCACCCUCCACCCCACCAGCCACUGGACCCUUUCCAUACAUUACAAUCAUUAAUCUUGAUGGAGGUGAACGAGAGAUAAUCAUAAGUAUUUUUCCUCUCUUCUCUUUUGUAUGACUCAUCGUAUUAGAUAUUAUCGUACGCUUCACGCACAUAUUGUUUUACUCACCUGAUCGAGCAACGAUAAUAGUGUGAUAGAAGCGAGCAAGGGAUACUCCUUCGACUAAGGGGCUUGAAAUCUAAGAGAUAGAAAAGGGAUUGAGGAUAAAGACACGAGCAAGAGAUAAUAUAAUUUUAUGACGAAUAAGAGUUAAAGAGUAAGAUGAGAAUGACUAUAUGAUGCGAAUAAAACAAAAAAGUGACAUUAGUAGAAUAAAAAGUAAAAAANNNNNNNNNNNNNNNNNNNNNNNNNNNNNNNNNNNNNNNNNNNNNNNNNNNNNNNNNNNNNNNNNNNNNNNNNNNNNNNNNNNNNNNNNNNNNNNNNNNNCGUGUUAUUAUCUAUCGGCAAACAAUUGACUUGAUAAUUGAUAAGGCAUAUAUUUAGGAUCUCGGCCACGUCGCGAUCCACGCCACGUCACACUCCUGCAGAUUCAACACAAGGGUUGCCUUCCUUCCACGUCGAGUUGGAGCUCGUAUAGGGAGGCACCCUCUCAACAAGUCCCUUCCCAGAAAGCUUGGGACGUUGUCCCAUGGCGUCGUUCCGCGCAUACCGGGUGACGAUUACACGAAGGUACGAUCUUGGGGGUAUCGAUCGUCAAGUCAAAUCCGCGUAUAAUCGAUCCUCGGACAAUAGUAUAAAAUCCCUUGACCGGCAUCUGGCUAGGAGACAAAGAACAGAAGAAAAAAAUCACUGACUUAGUCUACGAUGGGCCAAAGUCGGGAAUCUCCAGACCAGGGCGUGUGUGCAGGAACGUGGCCACCCCCGAACUAGCUCAAUCCCUCAUUGGAGAUGCGACCAUCCUGGCCGUUGAUCCAGACGCGACCAUCCCGACCCCUGAUCCAACUCGGCCUCGAUGCUUCUUCCAAUCGAUCGAGAGGCGCACUCCCGAACGUCGAAAACUCUGGACAUCGACAUGUGAACCAAAACGUGCCGACUCCUCGACCACGGCACGUAAGUUCACCAACAAAAAUAACGACGCAUUGUUGAAACAUUGAUUAUAAUCAAAGAAGAACGUUCUCAAAAUUAUUUUAAAAAAUAUUUUAUUUCUACCUAAUUAGUCAAUUAUUUAAAAUUUUUUUGAUGAUCAAUUCAUUUUCACUAACUCAGUAAAAUAUAAUAUUUGAAGAAAAUUAUACUGAAGAUAGAAUGUAAUAAAUGUAAUUAUAUAUAUAUAAUUAAUAUUUUUAAAAUAUAUUAAAUCGGAUAAUUUUACGGAAUAAGGUUUUGAGUCGUUCGAUGUAUGACUCUGUUAUAUCAAUAUAAGAUGAUAUUUUAGAUAUUAAAAAUAUAUACGAGACAACAUUUUGGUGCAGUUAUAUAUGUUUAAGAAAGACCACUUUUAUUACUGCAGGUGUGAAGAAGAUGCGACUCUACAACUCGGGAGUAAAAGACGAAGCGACAGCUCACAUCACCAUAAGUGCAAGCAUGUGGAUCACGCCAAGCAGAAGAAGACAGGCUUAAAGCAGUUCCUCCAUCACAGUGCCAUCUCGUCGCCGGAGGGCAACUCGAUCACUGUCUUGGAAACGGCGUCGUCUUCACGGCCUUGCAGUGGGUACGACACAGGGGGGAACUUGACCGUGUCGCCGCAGUUACUCUCCCUGCCGUUGGGGCAGCCGAUGAUCGACCUCCCGUCGCUGGAGACGCAGACGCGGAUCUGGUAGAGGUAGUCUUCGUAGAAGAAAGGCCAGAGAAUGUAAUUCCUGGUGCACACCACCGUGAACGAGAACCCGAUCCUGGGCACCAACGCGUCGUUGAUGUCGUCCAGGCUGUAGCUCUUCGUCGCGUGCGGUAUGAUCCCACUCGAGCCCAGGUUGACGAGGGGGUCCACCUUCUUCCUGAGUUGAAGCGCCCGGUCGAAGUAGAGCGACUGGUUGAGGCUGGAGCAAGUGCCGUAGGUGCACCACACGUCCUUCCAGUGGGGCAUCCCGCUGUUGCUGGGACAGGUCAGGUUGGCGUAGUACGUGUACAAGUUGUCGAGCAUGUUCACCAGCUGUCCAAACAAGACAAAGCGGUCAUCAUCGACAUCUCGGCCGAGUUAGCUCGGGUGGAGGAGGCUAACGAGACUCACCGGAAGUAUCUUGAAGACGCAGCUUCUGCUGCAGCCGGUGACCGGUUUACCGGUGGCGCUGUCGUAGGUUUCCAGGGCUUGGACGAGGAAGUCCGCCGCCGGCUCGCCAUUCGUCGGCAUACAGCACUUCCCUGUCGGUUGCGAGCUAGCACAGUAGCUUCCUGGCCACUGCAGUGAGAAGGACAUCAUACCAUCACCCAUCUUGCCAUCGAUGGUUACCACUACUGCAGGAAACCAGAACCAAGUAGAGGGUAACUAUACCAUAAGUUUCAAGAUCAGGUAGUCGGGCUUCGAAGCUGCCCUUGCCGCCGGAGAGGAAGACAAGCAUAACAGCAAGACAAGCAAGCAGAUCCCAGGAAGAGCCUUGAGGAUAGCCAUUCUGCAGGAGCUGUCGAGUUGCCUUGGUGAUGGUGGAUAAUAUAAGCCCAUCGUGGAACACACUGGUUGUGGCCUGGUGGUGGCGGGAUCCAUGGCAGCUCUAUCAAGAAAUGGCUGUCCUCGUCUCAGCCAUCAGCCUCUCCCCACGAGUUUCACGUGGCUUGCAGAUCUCAUCGCUUUCGAGAAAUGGUCGCCGUGCUGUUCACCACCAAUUUAAUGAUGACAUUAAAAUAAUGGCACAGUACAAGAUCAGAUGAUGUUCCAUGUGACUGACUUCUUUUAUUUGGACUCUCUCUCUCUCUCAUGAUUCGGGAACGGACAAGGAGAUGGAAGCAUUGAUUACAGUCGAGCCACCCAAACAACACCCCACUCCUCGCCAUCAAAUGUUCUUAUCUUCACAGACCGAACAUCAUUGAAGGGACUAAUAAGAAGAAGAUGGAUAGCAACCUGAUCGAAACAAGAACAAUGUUGAGAUGGGGAGGGGUUACGAACCGGUUCUGAGAAAGAUUUCUAGAUGUGAUUUCCUCUAAAGAAAUCAUGCAUUAAUUUGUUCUUGACCAAGUACAACAUGACUCGGAGAUUGGUAGACAAGAAAAAUGUAUUCAGAUCGUUCAUAAUUUCAUUUAAGAAAACCGAUCUAGAAGGAUUUUUUUUUGCGACAAUUAGGGAUUGAAAAUAGUCACGAUUAAGCCACUAAGUAGGGGUGAUGGUAAUUUCAGAACGGUCAAUUUUGAUUUCCGAAAUCAGCAACCGAGAAAAUAAAGAGUUAAAAAUAAUUAUAAUGAAUAUCAAAGUCUUUCCUCCAAUUACUAUAUGUUAGGAUAAAAAAUAUCGUUGAUGCGUGUAUUAGCAUGAUGUGAUCCUGAUCCGCAUACGAGGAGUCGAUAGAACAAGAUUUCUUCGAUCUCGUUCAUAUACAAAGACUAAGAUUGAAAGGGAUUUUCCGAGUUGAUUUAUCUAAUGCUUAACUUAGCACUUAGUUGCAUACAAAGACUUAUUUUUUUUUUAAUGAAGAUCCUAUAGAGAAAAAGUUCGAACUCAACUAUCUUUUUUAUUUUUAUGAUAUAUUUUUGUGAAUAUUUUUAUAGGAAAACUAGUUUAUAAUCAACUCAAACUACCUUUUAAUAUUCCUGAAAUAUUCCUACAAAUAUUUUGUAAGAAAGUCUGAAUUGUCUUAUGGGAAUAAUUCACGAUUAGCUAGUUUUUAAUUGAUCUGAAUUAUCUUCAAUUUUUUAUGAAUAUUUAAAUAUUUCAUCGAGGAGGUAGCUUAACAAAUCGGUAAUUGACCCGAGCUAUCUUUUGAGUUCGAAUAGAAAAUAUUGGCUUAAUAUGACAUUGACGUUACGAACGAUGACUAACCAAUUUAAUAUUUUCUUUCGCUAUGUGUAGUCAAACACUAUGUGAGUUGUGUUCAAACCACAAACUCUACGUAGCUAAAGAAAAAAAAAAAGGUAAGAUUAUUUUGUAUGAUCUAUAUUGAUCAAACGAUAAACAAGAAAAAAAUAGAAAAAGGUAAGAUAAGAUUAUUUUUUAUGGUCUCAUCGAAUAAAGUUUAUGUCGUCGAAACAAUUUCUAUGGUUACAAGAAUAGUGGAAGUCUCGUCAAGAGGAAACAAAAGAAUAUGGAAUAUGUGGAUCUCCUUUUUCCACGAAGGAGAGAUGGCAGAAGAAUUUUGUGUUCGAAUCCCAUCAUUUAUUUUGUAUCAAAAAAAGACACUAAUUCAACGAAAAGCUGAACACAAAUGAUGGAGAGAUGGAGUUUAGAUAUCAAACGUAUGGGAAUUUUACCUUCAUUAAGUAAAAUCCCAACUUGUUCAUGACAGGUAAUAUGCUCUGUUGUUAUUUGAUUAAUCUUAGAGACAGAGAUCAUAAAACAACAUCUUAUUCCAGUAGAUCGCAAGACGAUGAUGACAUCCUACACACAGGCAAUUCAUCAUGUUUGAGUGCCAAGAUGAUGAUGAUGACAUCCGCAUGACAAGAGGGCAGUAAUCCGUGGAUCGAUCACUGAGUCAUCGCCUUGUCCGAUGGCAACUUGAUGUGGUCGACCGCCGGAUGGCGCGGGCGCCCGAGCAUGUCGUCCGUGAACGGGUAGAACUUGACCUUGCUGCCGCAGUUGCUCUUCCUGGCGAAGGGACAACCGAUGAGAGACUUGCCGUCGGCGGAGACGCAGAUGCGGACUCUGGAGAGCAGGUAUUCCCGACUCAGCACGCCCAUCUCCGUGGUGCACUCCACCACCGCCGAGAACCCGAUCUUGGGCACCAGCGCGUCCUCGAUGUCCUCCAAACUGUAGCUCUUCGUCUCCGACGGGAUGAUGGCUUGAGAUCAGGAACAGAUCCAUGCGUUAGCUGCAGACACUUGUAAGCUCGAGGUCGGCGUGCAGGGCAGGGCUGCUUACCUUUGGAGCCGAGAGCACGGAGGAUGUCCACUCGAGCCCGGAGCUGAAGCGCCCGGCCGAAGUAAUUCACCUCGCUGAGGCUGGUACAGUUGCCGUAGGUACACCAGGCGGCCUUCCACACCUGCUUCCCGUUCUGGGCUGGGCAGCUCAAGCUGGGCCAGUAGGCGUUCAAGUCGUCCAACAGAUCGACAAGCUGUGGCAUGCGCAGAGUGAUCAGUGUGGGUCGGGAGCAGCGGAGAUCAUCGACUGCAUAGAUCCAAUCUGGCCUAUUACCGGGUUUAUCAAGAAGCGGCAGUUGGGUUCGCACUUGGCGACGAGCUUGCCGGUGGCGCUGUCGUAGGUCUCCAUGGUCUCCACCAGGAAGUCUGGCUCGGGGUUGCCGAUGAGCGGGUCAACGCAGCAGGUCGGCUUCCCGUUCCACCCUGGCUGGCAGCGAGUCCCCGGCCACUGCAGGAGUCACGAUCCAUUAGACUUCAUUAGCAAUUCACAGUAGGACUCAUCGAUUGCACAAGAAGGGCUUUCUGUAAAGCCGAAACAAAAGAGAGAGAGGAAUAGGUACUCUGAGAGACAGGAUCAUGUAGUCGUAUGAAGCAGCUGCUAGCGCACAAGAGGCGGCGCACAAGAGGAAGCAGAACGUGGGAAGAGCCUUUGAGCCGGCCAUUCCGCAGAGGUGGGAAGGAUGAUCGGGGGAGAUGAUGAGUCUGAUGGCUCUAAAUAAGCACGAAGACACACCCACCCACCCACCGAUAAUUGUUGGGCUACAUCGAUAUUGUUCUCGUGAGUAUAAUAUAAUAUAAUAUAAUGCACCUCGAUUGCGGCAUGGGGGUCGUAAAAUAAUGCACUUCGCUUUAAAUUUCGUACACCAACGUGAAACACGUGGGACGUUCCCGCAUCCCGCAAUCGUAGUGGGUUGGAAAGUGCGAGGAAAAAAAGAAGGAUUUUAUUUGAUUAUGGUCUCUCAUAGCAUAUUAUACUCUUCAUCUAAAUUAGGGAUUAAAAGGCUUCGAGACCAAGCAAGUGAAUAAUAAUAAAAUAAUAUAUUAAAAAAUCGAUCAAGAAAAAAUCCGUAAAAUAUUUUAUUCAUCUUUGAACAUGCUUUCGACCAUGCAUUAUUGAAACAUAUUCGUCCAUUUGAAAUAUCAUAUCUUUAAUCGCAUAUUACAUAUCAUAUGAAUUGGAUAUGUGUACUACCAUUAUUUUCCUUAAAUAAUAAUUUAAAUUUAUUAAAUUAAAAUUUAUGCCUGUGGACAUUAUUGUGUGAUCGGAACUGAGAACGAAGACUCGAACAAUGCAAAGGUCCGUAAGGUCUCGCCGAAUCAUCUUCCUUUGUCUUCCCUUUUACGCCAUCGGCGGUACCGAUGCAUUCGAUCCGGAGCUGGGCCUUCUCCGCCCUGAUCCUGGCUGUCACCGUCCUCUUCUUCUUCUUCUUCGACUGGCCGUCUCCUCCUCUUCAAGAAAUAGCCGGAGAUAUUCCUGGAUCCUUGAAUGACAUCGCUGUGACGGUAGGCCAUGGCUUCGAUUUCUUUCUCUCCCCUUCCUCUUCCCUUACCUUCUUUUCCCUUAGGAUAGGACAUAUUUUGGCCUUAUAUGAACCACCGAUAGACGUUGCAGAUCGACACAACACCGUACGCCUCCAAAACCGUGGGGUGCAUGCCACGUCAAGAGCCAACGAUGCAAUUGUGCGGCUUGACCACCUCAAAAGCUGGGGGCGGUGCCGUCUGCUGCUAGGGCAGUGUCGUCUGACGCCCCUCGAGCACCCUCGAAGAUGUCAUCUUGUCAGAGAGGUUGUUCCGCCCCUAGAGUUAACGACCAUAUCGGACCAGGGCCCGACCAAUUACCGCACGCAGGUAUAAAUACCCCCGACCUGAUCCAAAAAAAAGGGAGAAAAGGAUGAGAGAUUUAGAAUGAAUCUAACUUGCUCGUCGGAGGGGCCAAAGUUGGGACUUACCCUACGAGGGUCUUUUUGCAGAGAGGUAGUCGUCGCUGAGACGCGAAUGUCGUCUUCACACGGACGGUGCCCGGUACGCAGAGGAGGGUGGCCCAACGAGUCGGACUCGACAAGUGUCAGCCCGCAUCUCCCAUCUCCAAGAGGCUUCCACACCACAAGGAGGAUCCCCAACCAUCCGAGGGGAUGAGAGGACGCAUCUUCUCAUGAACAAUGCUCAUAUCGGCCAACUUUGGAAAGCCGGCUCACAGCGAGGCUCAGGCCGACCUUGCCACCUCAACCGGCGCUCAACGCGUUUAAGGGGCGCAACCACUCAAACGAUAGUAAUUCCGCCAGAAGUUCCCGACGUCGGCAGGUGGGCCUAGUCAUGCUGACAUAUUAGUCACGACAUGUUUGUUCACUAACAUUUUGGCCCUAGAAGAAGGGCCCAUGUCGCGGGAAUAGCUGGCAAGAACGUGCCCUGGGAGGGAACCCCCGACCGACCUCCCUUUCGCUGAGCCAGAAGGACAACCCCUCUCUACCCCUAUGGACGGAGGGAUACCGAUUUCAACGCUUGAUCGUUACUGGCGCUUGUUCAACGACCCGGGACUAUCCCCCCCGGGGCUCACCCCGGGGGGCCCGGCUGUGAUGCCCGAGGCAUUCCUUAGCCUAACCAAGCAAGUAUAGACCAUGACAGGCAUGAUGCACUCACUCGCCCCGAUCACUCCCCAAAUCGGGCAGCCCUCGAUGCCCUCGACCGAUCCGACCCGGCAACCCCCGAACGGGGAACAGCUCGGGGUUGGGCCAGCCUCGUGGCGAGCAACGGACCCGAGGGGUCCUCCCGUGCAAAAUGCGCCCACAGCUUGCUGAGCCACCCCAUCUCAUCUAGAGCCCGAUACUAUAUCAUCUGACUCGGCGAACGACUCACUCAGAGCUCAGUUGUCCCGGGUCAAUCAGCACCUGGACGAGUUCCAGCGUGAGCUUUGGAGAUUGCGUAGUGAGCCUAGCGAGGGCGCUUUGGUUGGGUCCCUCUUUACCCAAGAAGUACAAGAUAAGCCGGUCCCCCUCAACUUCAGGUUCCCGACAUUAGAAACGUACGAUGGAGGCUCGAUCCCAUGGAGCAUGUCUUUGUAUUCCGGGCCUAGAUGGCCCUCUAUGGUGCCUCCGAUGUGCUGAUGUGCCGAGUGUUUCCGACCACUCUGCGUGGCCCGGCGUGGACAUGGUUCAGCCGGCUGUGUCAAGCUUCAGUCUCGUCCUUCGACCAGGUGGUCGAGGAAUUUGAGCAAAGCUUCCUCACCGGCGCACGGCCCAGGCCCUCCAUGGCCACUUUGCUUGCACUAUCUCAGCACGAGGACGAGUCGCUCUCUCAGUUCGUGGCACGGUUCACACUAAGAUCCGAGGUUUUUCAGAUACUCACCCUUCUCUAAUCUUGCAAGCCUUUAUGAUGGGUCUUAAACCUUUAAGGUUCUUAUGGUCGUUGAUCGAGAAGCCGCCAGCGACCAUCUCUGAGAUGCUUCUACGUGCCAACCAGUACAUUGCCGUCGAGGCUUUAGUGGCGGGGAGGCACGUGGAAGGCAAGAAGCUCAGGAUGGAGCUGUCUCGAGGAACGGCCUCGGCGUUCCCGACGCCUCCCCGCCGGGGGCUCAACCGACAAGAGCUGCUACUCCCAAGACCCCCACCUCUCCCCCUAAACACAUCCCGUUCCGAGAUCUUCCUCUAGAUCAAAGAGACGAGCCUCUUGCAGCAGCCUUGCCCUAUGAAGGCCGCCCACAGAGACCAAUCUAAAUACCGUGGGGAUCCGUCGGCACACCCCGGAGGUGGGGGAGAAGUGAUAGGGCAUAUUUUGGCUCUAGAUGAAUCACCAACAAAUGUCACAAACCAAUAGCCACGAACGCAAUGCCAUGCGCCACCAGAACCACGGGGUGCAUGCCACGUCAAGUUCGGUACUAUGUGAUUGUGCGACUUGACCACCCCAAGAGCUCGGGGCGGUGUCGUCUACUUUUGGGACAGUGCCGUCUGACGCCACUCAAGCACCCCCAAGGAUGCCAUCUCGUCAAAGAAGUUAUCCCACCCCCAUGAAAGUUAGCGGCCACGCCGAACUGAGGCACAACCAACUCUCGCACGCAAGUAUAAAUACCCCCGUCCGAUCCCGAUGAGAGAAGAAAAAAAGGAGGAAGAAAAAACAGGGGAAUCCGAACUAAUCUAACUUGCUUGUCGGUGGGGCCAAAGUCGAGAGACACUCGACGAAGACCGUUUUGCAGGGAGGUGAUCGCCACUGAGCUGCGAGCGUCUCCACCCUGAAGUUGUCACCUAAUGCGCAGAGGAGGGUGGUCCAGUGGUUCGGAUCCCAACCAGCGCCGGCCUGCAUCUCCCAUCUCAAGGGUGUGCCCACGUCGCGGGGAAAGAUUGCCAACUAUCCCGGGGAUGAGAGGACACAUCUCGCCAGAAGCGACGCUCAGGUCGGCUAGCUUUGGAGUGCUAACCCCCAGCCGCUCGCGAGGACCCGACCGACCCUACCGCCUCAACCCUCGCUCGUAACGCUCGAGAGGCGCAACCAUCUCAUCAUCCUACUCAUUCCACUAGAAGUUUCCGACGUCGGUCCGUGGACCAAACUGUGAUGUCUCAUCAGCCAUGGUACUUUUGUUCACUAACAGACAUCAAACAUAUGGGAAUUUUACCUUCAUUAAUUAAAAUCCCAACUUGUUCAUGACCGGUAAUAUGCUAUGUGAUUAUUUGAUUAAUCUUAGAGACAGAGAUCAUAAAACAUCAUCUUAUUCCAGCAUAUGGCAAGACGAUGAUGACAUCCUACACACAGGCAAAUCAUCGUGUUUUAGUGCCAAGAUGAUGAUGAUGAUAUCCGCAUGACAUCGUACACAUAUCGCCUUGUCCGAUGGCAACUUGAUAUGGCCGGCCGCCGGAUGGCGCGGGCGCCCGAGCAUGUCGUCCGUGAACGGGUAGAACUUGACCUUGCUGCCGCAGUUGCUCUUCCUGGCGAAGGGACAACCGAUGAUAGACUUGCCGUCGGCGGAGACGCAGAUGCGGACUCUGGAGAGCAGGUAUUCCCGACUCAGCACGCCCAUCUCCGUGGUGCACUCCACCACCGCCGAGAACCCGAUCUUGGGCACCAGCGCGUCCUCGAUGUCCUCCAAACUGUAGCUCUUCGUCUCCGACGGGAUGAUGGCUUGAGAUCAGGAACCGAUCCAUGCGUUAGCUGCAGACACUUGUAAGCUCGAGGUCGGCAUGCAGGGCAGGGCUGCUUACCUUUGGAGCCGAGGGCAUGGAGGACGUCGGCUCGAGCCCGGAGCUGAAGCGCCCGGCCGAAGUAAUUCACCUCGCUGAGGCUGGUACAGUUGCCGAAGGUACACCAGGCGGCCUUCCACACCUGCUUCCCGUUCUGGGCUGGGCAGCUCAAGCUGGGCCAGUAGGCGUACAAGUCGUCCAACAGAUCGACAAGCUGUGGCAUGAGCAGAGUGAUCAGUGUGGGUCGGGAGCAGCGGAGAUCAUCGACUGCAUACAUCUAAUCUGGCCUAUUACCGGGUUUAUCAAGAAGCGGCAGUUGGGUUCGCACUUGGCGACGAGCUUGCCGGUGGCGCUGUCGUAGGUCUCCAUGGUCUCCACCAGGAAGUCUGGCUCGGGGUUGUCGAUGAGCGGGUCAACGCAGCAGGCCGGCUUCCCGGUCCACCCUGGCUGGCAGCUAGUCCCCGGCCACUGCACGAGUCACGAUCCAUUAGACUUCAUUAGCAGUUCACCGCAGGAGUCAUCGUUUGCACAAGAAAGGCUUUCUGUAAAGCCGAAACAAAAGAGAGAGAGAGAGAGAGAGAGAGAGAGAGAGGAAUUAGGUACUAUGAGAGACAGGAUCAUGUAGUCGUAUGAAGCAGCUGCUAGCGCACAAGAGGCGGCACACAAGAGGAAGCAGAACGUGGGAAGAGCCUUUGAGCCAGCCAUUCUGCAGAGGUGGGGAGGAUGAUCGGGGGAGA